GACGAACGCUGGCGGCGUGCUUAACACAUGCAAGUCGAACGGAAAGGCCUUUUCGGAGGUACUCGAGUGGCGAACGGGUGAGUAACACGUGGGUGAUCUGCCCUGCACUCUGGGAUAAGCCUGGGAAACUGGGUCUAAUACCGGAUAGGACCGCACUUUAGUGUGUGUGGUGGAAAGUUUUUUCGGUGUAGGAUGAGCCCGCGGCCUAUCAGCUUGUUGGUGGGGUAAUGGCCUACCAAGGCGGCGACGGGUAGCCGGACUGAGAGGUUGGUCGGCCACAUUGGGACUGAGAUACGGCCCAGACUCCUACGGGAGGCAGCAGGGGGGAAUAUUGCACAAUGGGCGCAAGCCUGAUGCAGCGACGCCGCGGGGGGGAUGACGGCCUUCGGGUUGUAAACUCCUUUCGCCAGGGACGAAGCGUUUUGUGACGGUACCUGGAGAAGAAGCACCGGCUAACUACGUG
rnacentral:rRNA from 1 species